UUAGUGUGCGUGAGGAUUGUGACGUCACUGCGACCCAUCUCUAACGGUCUCUAGGACCCAGCGAACUUCUUCCCGCUGACGGGCCUCUGCGGCGUCUGAGAGCCCGAGACGGCGGAGAGGAGCAGGCCGGUGCCGGGGAGGGUCAGGACGGGGAGAGACGCGGAGGGAAGACGGGCAGUUCGCGACCACCGGAGGGUUCAGGCCCGGGGCUGCAUGGCGAAACGGGGAGAAGAAGGAUUUGAUGGUCUGAAGGUGGAUCAGUUUCAUCGCCACAAAAGUCUCUCAGCAUUUUAAUGUCUUUUAUUUCACUUGUGUUGAUUUCAAAUGCAUCGAUCAGGCCUGUAGUGUGUUUUUGUUUCAUCAUGCCUCUCGAUCUGGACUGUGACGCAGCGGCGAACAAAACGAGUCCAGAGGCGGAACAGGAAGUGUGUGAGGUCACACAUGAAGAGAGAGUGACGGACACACCAACACGAAGAGUCGGACGACCCGCUCGAAAACGCAAAGCACCAGGAGUGGAUAGCUGUGGGCGUGUAAUAGAGGGUGUGGCCUGUAUAAAGCAGGCAGGGUGUAACGGUGAAGCAGACAGUCGGGUUUCUCAGAAAAACCUGGAGCGGAACGACUCCUCCCCUGACUCCACCCACAGGAACUGCACAGACACACCCCCCGGGGCAGACGAAGACUCUGCCCCUUCCACUCCACGGAAGAAACGAGGCCGACGGAAACUCGAGCACCCAGAGCGACACGUGGAGGAGGACGACACCAGCAGCGACACCAGCAGAGCAGAGAGCGAAGGGGGCCGUCUGAGGGGCCGGCAGGGCUGGGACAUCAGUCUAAGGAGACGGCCCGUACCAAGAGAGACCUACCAGGCUGGAGAUCCCUAUUACAUGAGCCGCAGGGAGAAAGAGGAGUGGCUCGCCCGCUGGAAGAAAGUGAAGGAGGAGAAGGCCCACCCGGUGCACACCGUGAGUGACACAAUGGACGACCAAUCAGCAGUGAGUUCUCAGAAGGAGGAGGAGGAGCCAGCCAUCAACCUCCCAUCCACACCCACACCUCAGCAGCAGCACACUGACCCCGCCUCCCCAACGGUUGCCACGACACCUGAGGCACCUCCUGUCGCCUGCGGUAACAAAGUGAUGACGAGGUCCUCAGAGAUGGAUCUGGAAUAUGAGGACGGCCGUGGGUUCGGGAUCGGAGAGCUCAUCUGGGGAAAGUUACGGGGAUUCUCCUGGUGGCCCGGCCGGAUCGUGUCGUGGUGGAUGACGGGUCGCAGUCGGGCCGCUGAAGGAACCCGCUGGGUCAUGUGGUUUGGAGAUGGCAAAUUCUCAGUGGUGUGUGUGGAAAAGCUGUUGCCCUUGAGCACAUUUUGCACAUCUUUUCAUCAGCCCACCUACAACAAACAACCCAUGUACAGAAAAGCCAUCUAUGAAGUUUUACAGACGGCGAGUACGCGUGCAGGUAAACCGUUCCCUGUGUGUGUGUCCACGGAUGACUCGGACACGGUGAAGGGUGUAGAACUGCAAACGCGGCAGAUGAUUGAAUGGGCCAGCGCUGGGUUCCUCCCCUCCGGUGCCAAAGGCCUGGAGCCGCCACCAGCGGAGCGGAACCCUUAUACUGAGGUGUAUCCAGAGAUGUGGGUGGAGCCUGAGGCUGCUGCGUACACAGCUCCGCCCCCUGCCAAGAAACCCAGGAAGAACAGUGUUGAGAAACCCAAAAUUAAAGAGAUUAUAGAUGAAGGAACCCGAGAGAGACUCGUGUAUGAAGUCAGGCAGAAGUCUUGCAAUCUCGAAGAUAUCUGUAUUUCCUGUGGAAGUCAGAACGUAUCACUUGAACAUCCUCUGUUUAUUGGAGCCAUGUGCCAGAGCUGCAAGAACUGUUUCCUGGAGUGCGCGUAUCAGUACGACGAUGACGGUUAUCAGUCGUACUGCACCAUCUGCUGUGGAGGAAGAGAAGUGCUCAUGUGCGGGAACAACAACUGCUGCAGGUGUUUCUGUGUGGAGUGUGUCGAUCUGCUCGUCGGGGUCGGUUCGGCACAGGCCGCUAUCCGUGAAGACCCCUGGAACUGCUACAUGUGCUGCAGCAAGAACGUCUUCGGCCUUCUGAGGCGCAGAGACGACUGGACCUCACGACUGCAGAUGUUCUUCGCCAACAACCACGACCAGGACUUUGAACCACAAAGGUUGUAUACUCCAGUAGCGGCAGAGAAGAGGCAGCCAAUCAGAGUGCUCUCUUUAUUUGAUGGCAUCGCUACAGGGCUGCUGGUGCUGAAGGAUCUGGGUAUUCAGGUGGAGCGGUAUGUGGCAUCAGAGAUAUGUGAAGACUCCAUCACGGUGGGGAUGGUGCGACACCCGGAACGGAUCAUGUAUGUGGGCGAUGUGAGGAACGUCACACGCAAACAUAUUCAGGAGUGGGGGCCUUUUGAUCUUGUGAUCGGUGGAAGCCCCUGCAAUGAUCUGUCUAUCGUCAACCCUGCCAGGAAAGGCCUCUACGAGGGCACCGGGCGUCUGUUUUUUGAGUUCUACCGGCUGCUUCACGAAGCACGACCCAAAGACGGAGACGACCGACCGUUCUUCUGGCUGUUUGAAAAUGUUGUUGCCAUGGGAGUCAGUGAUAAAAGGGACAUCUCACGCUUUCUGGAGUGUAAUCCAGUAAUGAUCGACGCUAAGGAGGUGUCAGCCGCACACAGAGCUCGAUACUUCUGGGGCAACUUACCUGGAAUGAACCGGUACAAUCUACAAUAUGAGCCACUGACUGCCAUGGCAAAUGAUAAACUCGACCUGCAAGACUGUCUGGAGCAUGGACGCACAGCUAAGUGUCCCCAACUAAGCAAGCCAGAGGCGACAGUGGCAAGAACCCAAACUCCAUCAGGUGACAGAAUGGAGAAAAAAACCUUGGGAAAAACCAGGCUCAGUCGGGAGGCCAGUCCUCCUCUGGCCGACGAAAGAACACGUUCGGCAAAGUGCGAACCAUCACAACUCGCUCAAACUCCAUAAAACAGGGCAAAGACCAGCACUAUCCCGUCUAUAUGAACAAUAAAGAGGAUAUCCUGUGGUGCACCGAGAUGGAGAGAGUGUUCGGCUUCCCCGUCCAUUACACUGACGUGUCUAACAUGAGUCGUCUCGCCAGGCAAAGGCUUCUGGGAAGGUCAUGGAGUGUGCCCGUGAUUCGCCACCUCUUCGCUCCUCUGAAGGAAUACUUCGCCUGUUUCUGAAGCUCCGCCCACCACACGGCAUGAUGGCGUCGUGACGUCCCUCCUCUUCCUUUCCUUUCCAAUAAGCUCCACCUUCUUGUGUUCAUUUAUUUUUGCUCGUGGCCUGUGAAUGUCUGGUGCUAUCCCAAGAUUAAUGUUCAACCCACUAGACAGCCACACUUCACAUAUUUAUUUGGAGUCCACAUUUUUAAUUUUCUUGUAUUUUAUUGUCCGUCGUUUUAGAUUUUUUUUUGGUCAUUUUCCAACUGUGACAACUCUCUCUCUCACAAAACUGACAGAGACAAAAUGUGAGUGUGUUUGCAAGUGUAUGUUUGUCCGAGCGCGAAAAUAUAGAGCACAAACCGCUGGUUAACUAGUGUGAAACAGAAGCAGACGCUCUCUGAAUACUCGAACCGGGCGAGUCCUUUUCCCCGACCCUAAAUCUGAUGUUGCAGCGUAAACUAACUAGGUAAGAUGUGGCAACUUUCAAGCGUCAUGAGUCAAGUCAUUGUUCUGACCUCACUGAAAGCGAAAUGCUGCGGUGAACAGUCAAAAUCACACUGAACACAUAUAUAAUGUUUUAUAUAUCUCACGGAAAAUAUGUGCAGGUCAUGCUUCACCCUAAUAUCAAAAGAAAAAAAUCAGAAAUUAUAAACAGCACCAUGAUUUUUAUGACAAAAGCACAUUUCCCCCUCCCAAAUUUCAUUAUAUAUAUAUUAGUGCUGUCAAACGAUUAAUCGCAAUUAAUCGCAUCCAAAAUAAACGUUUGUUUUUACAUAAUACAUGUGUGUGUACUAUGUAUAUUUAUUAUGUAUAUAUACAUAAACAUGUAUGCAUAAAUAUUUCUUAAAUAAAUACAUGUAUGUAUGUGUAUUUAUAUAUACAUAAUAUCAUUAGAGGUCGACCGAUAUCGGAUUUUACCGAAAACUAGGUUGGACCAUACUUGCCGAUAAGUGAUUAAUCAGCCGAUAGUUUUUAAAAUGGAUACUGGAUAAAUAAUAAUAAUAAAAUAACACUAAGUAAAACAGUGCUGAACUUUUUUUAUAAAUAAGUACUGAACCAUGAAAAUGUGCUAAAUGAAAUAAAUUAAUAUGAAUAUAUUAAUUAGAUAAAUAAUCUUUGCCUCUAUUUUAGAACACUUGAUGAUCAUCUAAUCCAAAUACCAAAAUAUGUAUUGCAGUGACGAUAAAGAAAUGAAAUCGGAUGCGUUUCUGAUUUGUUUAUGUUUCUGUCGGCUGCAUGAACUUUCACACGUCGCUUUAAAUAUGCAACUUCGCUGGCUAAUGAAAGCAUAAAAGUGACCAGCUGAAUAUACACUAGUGCAAAUAGAUGAAAACAAUCGUGACGUUAAACGUUUGGGUCGGAUUUGCGUGCGUUUUGUCAUGUUGUUUCAAACGCUUGAGGUGCUACUAAUGUUAGCGUCCUCUGAGCCUGAUCACAUACAUAGGGUAGCCUAGCACUGCUGUUCUUUUUCUGCUAAUGCAGCAUCUAGUCAGCAAAUUAAUUAUUUUAUAAUGAUAUGACAGCAUGUACUGUAGUGUACUGUAUUCAACCAUUUCGCUGUCGGUGUUUUAAAUGCGAUCUCCUGCAGCCUCAUGUGUCAAAGUAAACAACAGCGCAGUGUUAGUAUUUAUUUGGCCUCUAGAGGCCGCUAAUCUACUGUAUGAUGACGAGCAGACCCUUUUCAGCCGCUCCAGUCUCCUAAUAUAGCUCUUCCAACGGAAAAAACUAUCAGCAAGGAUUUUUGCCGAUAACCGUUUGUUCCACCAAUCAACUAUCGGUGCCGAUUAAUCGAUAAAUCGGUCGACCUCUAAAUAUCAUGUUUAUGAAUACGUGUAUAUUUAUAUUUUUAUAUUUAUAUGUAAUUUAUAUUAUAUAAAAAUAUAAAUAUUAAUUUCCCAAAUUUCAUUGUAAUGCAAAUAUUAAUUUUUGUAGCAUUUAUUGUAAUUGAUGCCAACAUUUUUAUAUAUAUAUAUAUAUAUAUAUAUAUAUAUAUUACAAUAGUAGUUAAACAUCCAGAUGCAUUAUGGUAAUGAUAAUUUGGGGGAAAAUGUGGUUAAAGUUGUUAUAAAAAUAAAUCCAAAAGGUCCUAAAAAUAGGUUUUGUUUUUCGAUUUUUGGAUGAAUUUUUACCUCAGACAUAUUUACAAGAGAUUAAGCAUUAAGCAGUGCUGUGUAUUAUUUCUACCAUUACAUGUAUAGAAAUCAGGUGAAUCGCGGUUAGUUUGGACAGCCUUAUAUUAACAUUAUCACUUGCCGAAUUAUCAUGUCGUGCCUGGUUAGGAUACGUGUCUGUAACAUCGACACAAACAUCAUUUUCAUGCAUAAACACACUUUUCCUGUGAGAGAGAAGAUGUGCUUGAAGAAUCAACAAUACACUGUUUACAGGUUACGCUCUUAAUACGGUACUACUAAACUACAGUAACUAUUCACUCACAACUCCACUAACUCGACUAUGGUGCUCUCUCUCUCUCUCUCUCUCUCUGUCUCCCUGUCUCUCUCAGCAAUACAAACGCAGCACGCAGUCCUGUAUGAUGCCUUUCUGCUGGAGCCUAUAGGGCACAUGUGAGAGAGCUGUGUCACAUCA